AUUGAACGCUGGCGGCAGGCCUAACACAUGCAAGUCGAGCGGUAGCACAGAGAGCUUGCUCUCGGGUGACGAGCGGCGGACGGGUGAGUAAUGUCUGGGAAACUGCCUGAUGGAGGGGGAUAACUACUGGAAACGGUAGCUAAUACCGCAUAACGUCGCAAGACCAAAGAGGGGGACCUUCGGGCCUAUUGCCAUCAGAUGUGCCCAGAUGGGAUUAGCUAGUAGGUGGGGUAACGGCUCACCUAGGCGACGAUCCCUAGCUGGUCUGAGAGGAUGACCAGCCACACUGGAACUGAGACACGGUCCAGACUCCUACGGGAGGCAGCAGUGGGGAAUAUUGCACAAUGGGCGCAAGCCUGAUGCAGCCAUGCCGCGUGUAUGAAGAAGGCCUUCGGGUUGUAAAGUACUUUCAGCGAGGAGGAAGGCGUUAAGGUUAAUAACCUUGGCGAUUGACGUUACUCGCAGAAGAAGCACCGGCUAACUCCGUGCCAGCCGCCGCGGUAAUAC
rnacentral:rRNA from 1 species